UACGGAGGGAGCUAGCGUUGUUCGGAAUUACUGGGCGUAAAGCGCACGUAGGCGGCUUUGUAAGUUAGAGGUGAAAGCCUGGGGCUCAACCCCAGAAUUGCCUUUAAGACUGCAUCGCUUGAAUCCAGGAGAGGUGAGUGGAAUUCCGAGUGUAGAGGUGAAAAUUCGUAGAUAUUGGGGAGGAACACCAGUGGCGAAGGCGGCUCACUGGACCGGUACUGACGCUGAUGGCGC
rnacentral:rRNA from 1 species